rnacentral:rRNA from 1 species
UGGGGAAUUUUGGACAAUGGGCGCAAGCCUGAUCCAGCCAUGCCGCGUGCGGGAAGAAGGCCUUCGGGUUGUAAACCGCUUUUGUCAGGGAAGAAAUCUUCUGAGUUAAUACCUCGGGAGGAUGACGGUACCUGAAGAAUAAGCACCGGCUAACUACGUGCCAGCAGCCGCGGUAAUACGUAGGGUGCAAGCGUUAAUCGGAAUUACUGGGCGUAAAGCGUGCGCAGGCGGUUUUGUAAGACAGAGGUGAAAUCCCCGGGCUCAACCUGGGAACUGCCUUUGUGACUGCAAGGCUUGAGUGCGGCAGAGGGGGGAUGGAAUUCCGCGUGUAGCAGUGAAAUGCGUAGAUAUGCGGAGGAACACCGAUGGCGAAGGCAAUCCCCUGGGCCUGCACUGACGCUCAUGCACGAAAGCGUGGGGAGCAAACAGGAUUAGAUCCCUGGUAGUCCACGCCCUAAAACCGAUGUCAACUGGUUGUUGGGAAGGUUCCUUCUCAGUAACGUAGCUAACGCGUGAAGUUGACCGCCUGGGGAGUACGGCCGCAAGGUUGAAAC